rnacentral:rRNA from 1 species
GAGGGGGCAAAUUAAUAACAUUAAUAAUAAUAAAAAUAAUUUUAAUAAUAAAAUAUUUAAUGGGGGUUAAAGUAUUUUAUUAGAAAAAAUUAUUAAUUUAAUAGGGGAAAGUAUUGUGAAAGAAUUUUGAAAUAAAUGAAAUAUAAAAAUUAUUUAAAAGUAAUUUUAAUUUGAUGUAUCUUGUGUAUCAGAGUUUAUUAAUUAUAUUUUUUAAGAAAAAAAUUCUCGAAUUUAAAAGAGAUAAUUAAUUAAAAAAGUUAUUGUGGCAUAAAUAUUUUUAAUAAUUAAUUAGAAAUGAGAUGUUAAUCGUUUUUAAAUAUAUCUAGUUUUUUUAGAAAAAAAUUUAAUUUUAAAUUUUUAUUUAAAAAUAAUAAUUAAUUAUUAUUUUUAAAUAAGAAUUUUAUAUUUUAAGGGAUAAGCUUUAAAUUAAAUUUAUAUAAUAAUAUUUAAAUUAAAUAAAAAUUUUAUAAUUUAUAUUAUUAAUAAAUUUUAGUUUAUUAUAAAUAAUUUUAUUUAAUUAUAAAAUUUAAAUUAAAUUUAUAUUUUUAUAAAAAAAUAAUUUUUAGCUUGAAAAAUUUAGAAAUAAUAAUAAAAUUAGUAUAUAAAAUUCAAAUAAAUUAUUAAAAUUUUGAUAAUUAAGAAAAAGUAAUUCGGCAAAUAUUUAUAUUCACUUGUUUAUCAAAAACAUGUCUUUUUGUAAAUAAUUUAAGGUCUAAUCUGCCCACUGAUUGAUAAAUUGAAGGGCUGCAGUAAUUUGACUGUACAAAGGUAGCAUAAUCAUUAGUCAUUUAAUUGAUGACUUGUAUGAAGGAUUGGAUGAAAUAUAAACUGUCUCUUUUUUAAUUUAUAGAAUUUAAUUUUUUAAUUAAAAAGUUAAAAUAGAUUAAAAAGACGAGAAGACCCUAUAGAGUUUUAUUUAAAAUAUAAUUAAAUUUAUUUAUAAAAUUUUAUAAUUAUAAUUAAUUUUUAAAUUUUAUUGGGGUGAUAGAAAAAUAAAAUUAACUUUUUUUAAAGUUUUAACAUAGAUAAAUGAUUAUAUGAUCCAGUUAUAUUGAUUAUAAGAAAAAAUUACCUUAGGGAUAACAGCGUAAUUUUUUUUUUUAGUUCGAAUAAAAAAAAGAGUUUGCGACCUCGAUGUUGGAUUAAGAUAAAAUUUAAAUGUAGAAGUUUAAAAUUUUGAUCUGUUCGAUCAUUAAAAUCUUACAUGAUCUGAGUUCAAACCGGUGUAAGCCAGGUUGGUUUCUAUCUUUUAGAGGGAUAAAUAUUUUAGUACGAAAGGAAUAAAUAUUAAAAUUAAAUUUAUUAUAAGAAUGUUAUUAAU